AUCAACCCAACCAUUACAGAAUUGUCUAUAUUUAAUGGACCGAGUGCCAUUGAAAACCAUCCGAUCUGGCCAUCUAGGACACUGGGAGGCAUGUUGUCCGGUCAAAGUAAACCAUAAGAAUAAGAAAUAUGUAGUGGCACACAUGAGCAGAACUUAAGACUGGGGAGCAAACCCCCUCACUCACACAAAAUGAACAUUUUUUUUUUGUUUAUUUGAAAGAAUAGCUAACCAUGUAUGCCACACGUAACAUGAAACUGAUAAUAUUGAAGGGAAACCCCCCCCCCCCCCCUCGGAAACCUCAGAAAACUAUUAGCUCCACCCUUGGCGAGGGGUAUUGAAUGUAAACGACUAAUGUUCAGGCCAGUAGUGAAAGUUUCCGGCACGUGAAGUUUAUGUUGGAGAUAUGCCCUAGAGGCAAUCAUAUGAUGAUGUUAUUGGCCUUGAACAUGAUCACUGAUAUGCACAA
rnacentral:lncRNA from 1 species